CCUACGGGAGGCAGCAGUGAGGAAUAUUGGUCAAUGGGCGCGAGCCUGAACCAGCCAAGUCGCGUGAAGGAUGACGGCCCUACGGGUUGUAAACUUCUUUUAUAAAGGAAUAAAGUGCGGCACGUGUGCCUUUUUGUAUGUAUUUUAUGAAUAAGGAUCGGCUAACUCCGUGCCAGCAGCCGCGGUAAUACGGAGGAUCCGAGGGUUAUCCGGAUUUAUUGGGUUUAAAGGGAGCGUAGAUGGGCUGUUAAGUCAGUUGUGAAAGUUUGCGGCUUAACCGGAAAAGUGCAAUUGAUACUGGCAGUCUGGAGUAGAGUAGAGGUAGGCGGAAUGCGUGGUGUAGCGGUGAAAUGCUUAGAUAUCACGAAGAACCCCGAUUGCGAAGGCAGCCUA
rnacentral:rRNA from 1 species